rnacentral:rRNA from 1 species
GACGAACGCUGGCGGCGUGCUUAACACAUGCAAGUCGAACGAAGUGGCGAACGGGUGAGUAACGCGUAAUCAACCUGCCCUUCAGAGGGGGACAACAGUUGGAAACGACUGCUAAUACCGCAUACUGAAGGAGGGGAUUGCGUCUGAUUAGCUAGUUGGAGGGGUAACGGCCCACCAAGGAAAUGAUCAGUAGCCGGUCUGGAAGGAAGAACGGCCACAUUGGGGCUGGGACACGGCCCAGACUCCUACGGUAGGCAGCAGUGGGGAAUCUUCCGCAAUGGACGAAAGUCUGACGGAGCAACGCCGCGUGAGUGAUAACGGCCUUCGGGUUGUAAAGCUCUGUUAAUCGGGACGCGGUACCGGAAUAGAAAGCCACGGCUAACUACGUGCCAGCCGCCGCGGUAAUAC